rnacentral:lncRNA from 1 species
UUCUCUUUCCCUCUCUCUCUCUCUCCCUCCCGAUAGUUCUAGAAAACCAGUCGGGCAGCCACCUUCCAAGCGACCCCAACGCCACCUCACGCCACCCCGACCCUCCGGACCGGACCCAGCAGCACCGGCCAGCUCCCGCCAUCAACCCCAGCCCGUCCGCCGCCCCUGCUGCUGUCUGGAGCCGCCGGAAACUGCUGGAAAACGCAGCAGUUUUGGCAGAUUUUCCAACCUCAGUUUCUCCCUCAUCCGGCCACCAAAUCAGUCGUGUGAGGUAUCGAUUUCUAGCUAUUUUUCGUGUUCUAACUGCUGGUUGGCUGGGUUUUGAUCAAUUUUUGCUGUAGAUCACUCGAUUUUCAAAUUGAAAUUCGGCCGACUUUCGGCCAUUUCCGGCCACUUUUUGGGGUAGGUCCAAACAAAAGUGACGCCAAAUGGGGUGUUUUACCUAGGAUAGGAGUUUGGAGUCUUGGUUCCGAGAUUUUUCGGCCACUCGGUAUCGCUUUAGACACCCGAAUCUGCCCGCGCGUGCUGGGGCGCGUGGGUGAGGGUGGUGGAGUAACUCUGGGCAGUUUUGAGAUCCUCGUGUCAUCACGAGCGCGUAGGAUUUCGCGGAUCUCGAUUCGGAGUCCGUUUGAGCCUUGAACGGAUUUUCCAUAUUGUGCGAUUACCGGGUUCAAUGCUGUUGAGCCGUUGGAUCGUAAUCAAUUUUAGAUAUGUUACUCUAGAUAAUUUUAGAAACGUGUAGGAUUCGACGGAUUGUGAAUCGAAGACCCGGAUACUCUGAAAACGCGAACCCUAGGGCUAGGGUUUAGAAAUUACAGGAUUGUGAUCAAUCCGACCGUCCGAUUGACACCAAUACCCUCGGGACAUGUGUCCUAAAUAUAUUGGACCUUCUAGCGGCAUCCGGAUCAUAUUAUACCCGUGGGGUUCCGGAUUGACUUUUUGAACUUUAGCGCUUUUUGAGUCCCCAGAUACCACUAAACGAUCCCACGUGGAAGAAAAGCUGUUAUGGGCAUAGGGAUCACUUUAAAUUGACGCACGUACUUUUAGGAGUCGGGGGUAGGGUUUUUAAUUUAAUACUAUAUUGUAUUAAUAGAAUAUUAUGGUCAUUGAAUCAGGCACCCGGGCACCAGUUGACCCGCAGAGGGACCUUCAAGAGGUCCAGCGAGCUCAGACUAUCAGUGAGUGGACUCUUUGUUUUUAUAAAUGAAUUUAAUCAGUUCAGUUUCAGUUAAGCAGUUCAGUUUCAGUUAUAAGCUGUUUUAUGCUGUUAAAUAUUUUAUAUUACAUGCUGCCGAGUGAAGUUUCCUUUUAAGAAUAUAGGAAAAGAUAUUCUCGUUAAUUAUCAGAUAAAUGGCAGCAGAAAUUUAAAGGUUACAGAAAGUUAAUUAUUCAACAAAUUUUCUUCAGAAACUUUAUAUUUUCUUAAAUCACCUUGUACCCAGUUAUUAAAUGUUGCCUUCGGUUUAUAUCUGUUACCUUCGGUUUAGUCAGCAUGCUUGACAGUUGCCCCACGAGUUCCUUGGUACUCGAACUCGUGUGGAGCGAGUAAUGCGGAUAAAGGCGGACUACGGUUCCCUGAAUCCUGCGAGUUGCGGCUCAGACUGACCUCGUGUCACUGAGACCUGCGAGUAUGUGUCACCCAUGGUGAUGCAAGGAAUUGACGGAUAUAAGGAUUUGACAGAAAUAAGGGUACACCUAGGUGAUAGUUUUCAACUGUUUUCAAAUGUAUAGUUAUAUACAUUCAUUGAUUUCAGAAAUAAAGAAAAUAAGCUAGUUUGUAUAACUGUUUUUACCGUGGGGUUAGUAUGUUCAUAUAGUAUUUUCUAAACUUUGUUUUUGGGUCCACUCACCCUUCUUGUUGUUUUGUGCCCCCAGGAAGUAGACGUGCACAGGAAUCCACCACCGGGCCACUUCCCAUCUUCCGCGCCUUUCUU